rnacentral:misc_RNA from 1 species
CAACCCUCAAGCCUGGCUUGGUGUUGGGGCCUGCUGUCGCCGGCAGCCCUUAAAAUCAGUGGCGGUGCCAUCUGGCUCUAAGCGUAGUAAUCCUUCUCGCUACAGCGUCCGGUGGGUGCUCGCCAUCGACCCCUAAUUUCUAU